GAUGAACGCUGGCGGCGUGCUUACCCUUUGCAAGUCAAACGAACCUUCGGGUUAGUGGCAAACGGGUGAGUAACGCGUGAAAAUCUGCCCUCAGGAGGGGGAUAACGGCUGGAAACGGCCGCUAAUACCCCAUAUGCCGCGAGGUGAAAUGAAAUUCGCCUGAGGAUGAGCUCGCGUCUGAUUAGCUAGUUGGUGGGGUAAGAGCCUACCAAGGCAUCGAUCAGUAGCUGGUCUGAGAGGAUGAUCAGCCACACUGGGACUGAGACACGGCCCAAACUCCUACGGGAGGCAGCAGUGGGGAAUUUUCCGCAAUGGGCGAAAGCCUGACGGAGCAACGCCGCGUGAGGGAUGAAGGCCUCUGGGCUGUAAACCUCUUUUAUCAAGGAAAAAAAUCUGACGGUACUUGAUGAAUAAGCCACGGCUAAUUCCGUG
rnacentral:rRNA from 1 species